rnacentral:rRNA from 1 species
AUUGAACGCUGGCGGCAUGCCUUACACAUGCAAGUCGAACGGCAGCAUGGAGAGCUUGCUCUCUGAUGGCGAGUGGCGAACGGGUGAGUAAUGCAUCGGAACGUACCGUGUAAUGGGGGAUAACGUAGCGAAAGUUACGCUAAUACCGCAUACGACCUGAGGGUGAAAGCAGGGGAUCGCAAGACCUUGCGUUAUACGAGCGGCCGAUGUCAGAUUAGCUAGUUGGGGAGGUAAAGGCUUACCAAGGCGACGAUCUGUAGCGGGUCUGAGAGGAGGAUGGGCCGCACUGGGACUGAGACACGGCCCAGACUCCAACGGGAGGCAGCAGUGGGGAAUUUUGGGCAAUGGGGGCAACCCUGAUCCAGCCAUGCCGCGUGAAUGAAGAAGGCCUUCGGGUUGUAAAGCUCUUUCGGCCGGGAAGAAAUCGCACAGGCUAAUACUCUGUGUGGAUGACGGUACCGGCAUAAGAAGCACCGGCUAACUACGUGCCAGCAGCCGCCGUAA